UUGCUUUGGCAGCACAUACACUGAAGUUGGAAUGACUCAGAGAAGAUUAGCAGGGCCCUUGCAAAGGAUGACAUCCAGCUUCAGAAACCACUCUGUAUGCAU
ensembl:snRNA U6 U6 spliceosomal RNA